rnacentral:rRNA from 1 species
AGUUUGAUCCUGGCUCAGGAUGAACGCUAGCUACAGGCUUAACACAUGCAAGUCGAGGGGCAGCAUUGGAGUAGCAAUACUUCAGAUGGCGACCGGCGCACGGGUGAGUAACACGUAUCCAACCUGCCGCUUACUCGGGGAUAGCCUUUCGAAAGAAAGAUUAAUACCCGAUGGUAUAAAGAGUUCGCAUGUUCUCUUUAUUAAAGAAUUUCGGUAAGCGAUGGGGAUGCGUUCCAUUAGAUUGUUGGCGGGGUAACGGCCCACCAAGUCUACGAUGGAUAGGGGUUCUGAGAGGAAGGUCCCCCACAUUGGAACUGAGACACGGUCCAAACUCCUACGGGAGGCAGCAGUGAGGAAUAUUGGUCAAUGGRCGAGAGUCUGAACCAGCCAAGUAGCGUGAAGGAUGACUGCCCUAUGGGUUGUAAACUUCUUUUAUAAGGGAAUAAAGUGAGGGACGUGUCCCUUUUUGUAUGUACCUUAUGAAUAAGGAUCGGCUAACUCCGUGCCAGCAGCCGCGGUAAUACGGAGGAUCCAAGCGUUAUCCGGAUUUAUUGGGUUUAAAGGGAGCGUAGGUUGACAUAUAAGUCAGCUGUGAAAGUUUACGGCUCAACCGUGAAAUUGCAGUUGAUACUGUAUGUCUUGAGUGUACAAGAGGUGGGCGGAAUUCGUGGUGUAGCGGUGAAAUGCUUAGAUAUCACGAAGAACUCCAAUUGCGAAGGCAGCUCACUGGGGUACAACUGACACUGAGGCUCGAAAGUGUGGGUAUCAAACAGGRUUAGAUACCCUGGUAGUCCACACAGUAAACGAUGAAUACUCGCUGUUUGCGAUAUACAGUAAGCGGCCAAGCGAAAGCAUUAAGURUUCCACCUGGGGAGUACGCCGGCAACGGUGAAACUCAAAGGAAUUGACGGGGGCCCGCACAAGCGGAGGAACAUGUGGUUUAAUUCGAUGAUACGCGAGGAACCUUACCCGGGCUUGAAUUGCAGAGGAACAUAGUUGAAAGAUUAUGGCCGCAAGGUCUCUGUGAAGGUGCUGCAUGGUUGUCGUCAGCUCGUGCCGUGAGGUGUCGGCUUAAGUGCCAUAACGAGCGCAACCCUUAUCAUUAGUUACUAACAGGUCAUGCUGAGGACUCUAGUGAGACUGCCGUCGUAAGAUGUGAGGAAGGUGGA